UAAAAUAUAUUAUUGCCAUGUUUUUUAAUAGAUAAUUUAAAUUUAUAAUUUAGUAAUUCUAUAAAAAGAUAGUUAACGUUAUUUCUAGCUACAAAUUGAUCAUUAGUUUAGACACUUCGGUGCAAUUCACGUACUAUAAAUUCACCCAAGUGUUCGAAUAUGUUCAAGUACAUACUACAUUAACCAGAUGACGAAAUAAACGAUUAGUCGGAACGCCGAAACAGUUGUUCAUUUUCAUUAGAAAAUGUUAUUUAGUAAUGAGUUGGACUACGUGUCGUGAGAUAAAGUAAAUCGUAUAUCGCGUCGUGCAAGUCGUUCGACGCUGUUAUUGGUGUUAAUUGAAACGCAAGCAAGAUUUAUCGGCAAAGACGUAAAUGUUUUCGACGCGUUCCGUGAUUGCAGAGGACGCUGUAUAACGUGGUACUAUAAUUAGUCAUGAGGAGAGACACUGCAUGAAACAUAGAUACAAUUCUUUUUUCCAUAUUUUUUAACACUGCAACUGUCCUUCAAGACAGAACAGCCUUUUGCAUGUAUGUCGAGGAAUAUCGAUAACAUAAAAUGAAACAAGCACGUUACUGUAAACCAGCGCAUAUCGUCUUACGAAAGAAGAAUCGUUAUGAAACAUCAUUGACCCUGUAUCAAGCAUUCUCCUCGUUCUCCAUGUUUCUCUCGGUGGUUCUGCUGGAUCGCUAGGUUACGUCAACUUUAUUUUUAACCGAAUAACGCGCGAGAACCUACGACCUUCGCCUGGUUUGGAAGUGAAAGUACUCGACGAACUUCUUCCGCGACUGUCUUUGUAUUUAUUUUAUUUCCCUUGAAAGAUCGGUAACUUGAUUAUAUCAUUGGCUACACUGUGCUGAACUCACGCAUUCUACUGAUAUUUAUUUACAGAGAAAACUCAGCCAAUAAAAUUCUUUUCCUAUUCGUGAA